CUGCAAUAGGGAUGGAAACGGCAUCCUUUUCUUUUAAAGUACCAAUUGGAAAAUUCAGAAAGCACCGUCGGCAAAGAAAAGAUAUAGUGGACAGCCCGGCUGCUA
rnacentral:sRNA from 1 species